UGCUACCUUGUUACGACUUCACCCCAGUCGCUGAUCCUACCGUGGUCCGCUGCCUCCAAAAGGUUAGCGCACGGCCGUCGGGUAGAACCAACUCCCAUGGUGUGACGGGCGGUGUGUACAAGGCCCGGGAACGUAUUCACCGCGUCAUGCUGUUACGCGAUUACUAGCGAUUCCGACUUCAUGGGGUCGAGUUGCAGACCCCAAUCCGAACUGAGACAGUUUUUUGGGAUUAACCCAUUGUCACUGCCAUUGUAGCACGUGUGUAGCCCAACCCGUAAGGGCCAUGAGGACUUGACGUCAUCCACACCUUCCUCCCGCUUAUCACGGGCAGUUUCUUUAGNGUGCCCAGCCGAACUGCUGGCAACUAAAGAUGUGGGUUGCGCUCGUUGCCGGACUUAACCGAACAUCUCACGACACGAGCUGACGACAGCCAUGCAGCACCUGUCACCGCGUCCCCGAAGGGAACCAUCCAUCUCUGGAUGUAGCACGGGAUGUCAAGGGUUGGUA
rnacentral:rRNA from 1 species